GCCAGCAGCUAUAUCACCCUGCAACUCACUGAAACUAAGCAGAUUUGAGCCUGGCCAGUAUCUGGAUCGGAGACCUCCUGAAAAAGCUAAGGUUGCUGCUGGAA
rnacentral:rRNA from 1 species